rnacentral:rRNA from 1 species
ACAAGCGGUGGAGUAUGUGGUUAAUUCGAUGCAACGCGAAGAACCUUACCUGGCCUUGACAUCCCGGAGACCCUUAGGAAACUAGGGGGUGCUUCCAUCUGGAAGAAUCUGGAGACAGGUGCUGCAUGGCUGUCGUCAGCUCGUGUCGUGAGAUGUUGGGUUAAGUCCCGCAACGAGCGCAACCCUUGCCUUUAGUUGCCAGCAGUUCGGCUGGGCACUCUAAAGGGACUGCCGGUGUUAAACCGGAGGAAGGUGGGGAUGACGUCAAGUCCUCAUGGCCUUUAUGACCAGGGCUACACACGUACUACAAUGGCCGAUACAAAGGGCAGCGACACUGCGAGGUGAAGCCAAUCCCGUAAAAUCGGUCUCAGUCCGGAUUGGAGUCUGCAACUCGACUCCAUGAAGUUGGAAUCGCUAGUAAUCGUGGAUCAGCAUGCCACGGUGAAUACGUUCCCGGGCCUU